GAUGAACGCUGGCGGCGUGCUUAAGACAUGCAAGUCGAACGAAGAGCUUGUAGCAAUACGGGCUCUGAGUGGCGAAUGGGUGCGUAACACGUAGGUGACCUGCCCUGAAGUGGGGAAUAACAGUCCGAAAGGACUGCUAAUACCCCAUGUGGUCCUGGAGGUUAGAGGCUCCAGGUCUAAAGCAGCAAUGCGCUUCAGGAGGGGCCUGCGGCCCAUCAGCUAGUUGGCAGGGUAACGGCCUACCAAGGCAACGACGGGUAGGGGACCUGAGAGGGUCGACCCCC
rnacentral:rRNA from 1 species